GACGAACGCUGGCGGCGUGCUUAACACAUGCAAGUCACGGGGGCCCGCAAGGGCAACCGGCGAACGGGUGCGUAACACGUGGACAACCUGCCCUCGUGUGGGGGAUAGCCAUGCUAACGCGUGGGUAAUACCGCAUACGUUCCCUUGGAGGAGUCUCUGGGGGAGGAAAGCUCCGGCGCACGGGGAGGGGUUCGCGGCCUAUCAGCUAGUUGGCGGGGUAAUGGCCCACCAAGGCGACGACGGGUAGCUGGCUGAGAGGAUGGCCAGCCACAUUGGGACUGAGAGACGGCCCAGACUCCUACGGGAGGCAGCAGUGGGGAAUCUUGCGCAAUGGCCGAAAGGCUGACGCAGCGACGCCGCGUGUGGGAUGAAGCAUUUCGGUGUGUAAACCACUGUUGCCCGGGACGAACAGCCUUUUUCGAGAGGUCUGACGGUACCGGGUGAGGAAGCACCGGCUAACUCCGUGCCAGCCGCCGCCGUAAG
rnacentral:rRNA from 1 species